rnacentral:rRNA from 1 species
UCGAACGGCAGCGCGGGNAGCAAUCCUGGCGGCGAGUGGCGAACGGGUGAGUAAUAUAUCGGAACGUGCCCUAGAGUGGGGGAUAACCAGUCGAAAGACUGGCUAAUACCGCAUACGAUCUACGGAUGAAAGUGGGGGAUCGCAAGACCUCAUGCUCAUGGAGCGGCCGAUAUCUGAUUAGCUAGUUGGCGGGGUAAAAGCCCACCAAGGCGACGAUCAGUAGCUGGUCUGAGAGGACGACCAGCCACACUGGGACUGAGACACGGCCCAGACUCCUACGGGAGGCAGCAGUGGGGAAUUUUGGACAAUGGGGGCAACCCUGAUCCAGCAAUGCCGCGUGUGUGAAGAAGGCCUUCGGGUUGUAAAGCACUUUUGUCCGGAAAGAAAUCCCUUGGGUUAAUACCCUGGGGGGAUGACGGUACCGGAAGAAUAAGCACCGGCUAACUACGUGCCAGCAGCCGCGGUAAUACGUAGGGUGCAAGCGUUAAUCGGAAUUACUGGGCGUAAAGCGUGCGCAGGCGGUUGUGCAAGACCGAUGUGAAAUCCCCGGGCUUAACCUGGGAAUGGCAUUGGUGACUGCACGGCUAGAGUGUGUCAGAGGGG